GGAACCUCCGUGGGCAUAACCGCAGUAUAUAAAUGAUGCUGAAGACAGGCAAAAGCUCUGACAAGACUUUGAUCCUUCUUCAAGGCCUGGGAAUAACCUCAGGCAGCCAGGACCUGCUCUGCCUGUGGGGCUCACAGAUUGCAUGAAGUGCAAGGAUGAGCUGAAAG